UGGGGAAAAAUGAGAAUGAUUAUUUGAACACCUAUGUACUAACCCUGCUUUUUUCCAUCUAAAAUGUCUUGGACUGACACUCUAAUUGCAUUUUGCUGUAUUUUUGAAUCUUGAUGUGUGCCAAAUUUAUAAUUGUUUCAGAAGUCUCAAGACAAUAAUUUCCAAAUUCAUUUAUUAUCUGUAGGAAACGUAUCCUUUGAUACCUGGAUGCAGCUGUAGCAGUGAGAGUGCUGUAAUUGCCUAUGGAGCCAGGCAAUACUCCUCGGCACAUUAUAUGAUCUGUGUCUUAGACUGUUAACCUGCAGUGAAAGUGCUCGCUAAUAGGACGGACUGCUCAGCAAAUGCCCGAGCCCUCAGGGUUGGCUCAACGAGUGCUAUUGCU